UACGAGGGGGGCGAGCGUUGUCCCGGAUUUAUUGGGCGUAAAGAGCGUGUAGGCGGCCAGACAGGUCCGUUGUGAAAACUAGAGGCUUAACCUCUAGACGUCGAUGGAAACCGUUUGGCUAGAGUCCGGAAGAGGAGAAUGGAAUUCCUGGUGUAGCGGUGAAAUGCGCAGAUAUCAGGAAGAACACCCGUGGCUAAGGCGGUUCUCUAGUACGGUACUGACGCUGAGACGCGAAAGCGUGGGGAGCGAACAGG
rnacentral:rRNA from 1 species